GACGAACGCUGGCGGCGUGCUUAACACAUGCAAGUCGAACGGAAAGGCCCCCACUUUUUUGGUGGGGGUGCUCGAGUGGCGAACGGGUGAGUAACACGUGGGUGAUCUGCCCUGCACUUCGGGAUAAGCUUGGGAAACUGGGUCUAAUACCGGAUAGGACCAUGGUUUAGUGUCUCAUGGUGGAAAAAUUAUUGUUUUGGUGCAGGAUGAGCUCGCGGCCUAUCAGCUUGUUGGUGGGGUAAUGGCCUACCAAGGCGUCGACGGGUAGCCGGCCUGAGAGGGUGGACGGCCACAUUGGGACUGAGAUACGGCCCAGACUCCUACGGGAGGCAGCAGUGGGGAAUAUUGCACAAUGGGCGCAAGCCUGAUGCAGCGACGCCGCGUGGGGGAUGACGGCCUUCGGGUUGUAAACUCCUUUCGUUAGGGACGAAGCCACGCCUUUUUUGGGUGUGGGGA
rnacentral:rRNA from 1 species